AUGGUGGUGAUAGCGUUUAUCCUGGUAUUACCAAAGAUAAAACAAAGAAUGAACAGGGGAAACACCACAGAACAGAAUGCCACAAAAAGUCCUGGGACCUCCACUGAAUAUGUGUAUGAAGACAUGAGAAAGAACCCUGUGUACUCCCGUGUUGGUCAUCAGCCGUGCCCACAAGCCUGACAAGGCUAGAGCAGCAUUACUGUAAAAACUUUUUCCAAACGGAAUUUGACAUAAGUUUCAUGUUUUGUUAUUGUCUAUUCUUGUCUAUUCACUCUCUUGGCAUUCUCUUGAUGAGCUUCAAGAGGUAGUCACCUUAAAUGGUCUUCCAACAGUCUUGAAGGAGUUCCCAGAGAUGCUUAGCACUUGUUGACCCUUUUGCCUUCACUCUGCGGUCCAGCUCACCCCAAACCAUCUCGAUUGGGUUCAGACCUGGAGGUGUGUUUGGGGUCAUUGUCCCCUAUUGAAAAAUAAAUAAUGGUCCAACUAAACGCAAACUGGAUGGAAUAGCAUGCCACUGCAAGAUGCUGUGGUAGCCAUGCUGGCUCUGUAUGCCUUCAAUUUUGAAUAAAUCCUCAAAAGUGUCACCAGCAAAGCACCCCCACACCAUCACAACUCCUCCUCCAUGCUUCACGGUGGGAACCAGGCAUGUAGAAUCCAUCCGUUCACCUUUUCUGCAUGACACAAAGACACGGUGGUUGGAACCAAAAACCUAAAAUGUGGACUCGUCAGACCAAAGCCCAGAUUUCCACUGGUCUAAUGUCCAUUCCUUGUGUUCUUUAGCCCAAACAAGUCUCCUCUGCUUGUUGCCUUUCUUUAGCAGUGGUGUCCUAGCAGAUAUUUGACUAUGAAGGCCUGCUUUACACAGUUUCCCUGUAACAGUUGUUGUAGAGAUGUGUCUGCUGCUAGAACUCUGUGUACCAUUGACCUGCUCUCUAAUCUGAGCUGCUGUUAACCUGCCAUUUCUGAGGCUGGUGACUCGGAUGAACUUAUCCUCUGCAGCAGAGGUGACUCUUGGUCUUCCUUUCCUGGGGAGGUCCGCAUGUGAGCCAGUUUCUUUGUAGCGCUUGAUGGUUUUUGUGACUGCACUUGGGGACACUUUCAAAGUUUUCCCAAUUUUUCAGACCGACUGACCUUCAUUUCUUAAAGAAAUGAUGGCCACUCGUUUUUUCUGUACUUAGCUGCUUUUUUCCUUGGCAUAAUACAAAUUCUAACAGUCUAUUCAGUAGGACUAUCAGCUGUGUAUCCACCUGACUUCUGCACAAUACAACUGAUGGUCCCAACCCCAUUUAUAAGGCAAGAAAUCACACUUAUUAAACCUGACAGGGCAGACCUGUGAAGUGGAAAACAUUUCAGGCGACUACCUCUUGAAGCUCAUCAAGAGAAUGCCAAGAGUCUGCAAAGCAGUAAUCAAAGCAAAAGGUGGCUACAAUGAAAAACCUACAAUAUGACAUAUUUUCAGUUGUUUCACACUUUUUUGUUAUGUACAUAAUUCCACAUAUGUUAAUUCAUAGUUUUGACGCCUUCAGUGUGAACCUACAAUUUUCAUAGUCAUAAAAAUAAAGAAAACUCUUUGAAUGAGAAGGUGUGUCCAAACAUUUGGUCUGUACUGUUUAUUGUUAAAUGUUUCAUGGAUUAAAGGUCUGUGUUAUCAUUUUUGAAAUGUUAAGUCCAUUAGUACUAUUUUUCUUUUCAUAUUAUGGUUGAAAACAAGAGGUGCUGUCAAAAAGAAAGAGCUUUCUUUGGUGUUUGCAAUAUUGUCUCUGCAUGCAAUGAGAAGCUGACCACCUGAACACCAAAGAGUGUGUCAUGGUCGAACACUAUGGAGACCCAGUUGCUGGAACCCGGAAGAAACUCAGGAGACGAGGCAGAGUCAGAAGAUUUAAUCUGAGGGUGAUGCGAGUCG
rnacentral:lncRNA from 1 species